GGGGGUAUAGCUCAGUUGGGAGAGCACCUGCCUUGCAAGCAGGGGGUCACGAGUUCGAGUCUCGUUAUCUCCAC
rnacentral:tRNA from 1 species